ACCUCUUAGCCACCUUAGUAGAUUUGCCCUACUAUUCAGGUAGGAUUUCAAACUUUUGUUAUACCCCUUUGUUAUGUAAUUUUAAUAAGAAUGUGACCUUUAAGAUAAAGAAUUGCUUACCCAUCACUAACUAGCAGGGUAUUAAUUUAAACUAUAUUUCCAGUUUAGUCCCUGGCUCAUCCACAUCCAUCCAUGAUGCCUUGCAUUUUCAAGAUGGCAGCUGAGAUGCUGCAGUAUGUUUUAGGCUGUGGAGCAAAACCUUAUGGCCAGUUAAUCUGCUGUUGUUAUCUCAUUGUCUUUCCUCUGGCUGCCGAACACUCAGAGAAGACAAACUAGCAAUUUCGCUGACUCCUUCUAUUGUCCAUUUUAGUGGUGGUUUUCAAACUUUACUGUUUUUGCUAAGCCCAGAUUUAUUUAUUUAUUUUAUUGGAUAUUUUAUUUACAUUUUGAAUGUUAUCUUCUUUUCUGAUUCCCAUCCCCUGAACUCCAUAACCCAUUAACCCUCUUCCUGCUUCUAUGAGGGUGUAACCCCAUCCACCCACCCACUCCCACCUCCCUGCCCUCAAAUUCCUCUACACUGGGGAACUGAACCUUCAUGGGACUAAGGGCCUCUUCUCUCAUUGAUGCCUAACAAGACCAUCCUCUGCUACAUAUGUAGCUGGAGCCAUGAGUCCCUCCAUGACCUUGGCUGGUGAUUUAGACCCUGGUUGCUUUGGUUGGUCAAUAUUGUUGUUCUUCCUAUGGGGUUGCAAACCCCUUCAGCUCCUUAAGUCACAAAAUAGGCCUCAACAGAUACAAGAAGAUUGAAAUGCCAUGCAUCCUAUCAGAUCACCAUGGACUAAGGCUGGUCUUCAAUAACAGCAAAAACAAUGGAAAGCCCACAUACACGUAAAAACUGGACAAUGAUAACUUGGUCAAGG
rnacentral:lncRNA from 1 species